rnacentral:rRNA from 1 species
UACGAAGGGAGCUAGCGUUGUCCGGAUUUAUUGGGCGUAAAGAGCUCGUAGGCGGCUUGUUGCGUCGACCGUGAAAACCCGGGGCUCAACUUCGGGCUUGCGGUCGAUACGGGCGGGCUAGAGUUCGGUAGGGGAGACUGGAAUUCCUGGUGUAGCGGUGAAAUGCGCAGAUAUCAGGAGGAACACCGGUGGCGAAGGCGGGUCUCUGGGCCGAUACUGACGCUGAGGAGCGAAAGCGUGGGGAGCGAACAGG